AGUGAACGCUGGCGGUAGGCCUAACACAUGCAAGUCGAACGGCAGCACAGUAAGAGCUUGCUCUUACGGGUGGCGAGUGGCGGACGGGUGAGGAAUACAUCGGAAUCUACUUUUUCGUGGGGGAUAACGUAGGGAAACUUACGCUAAUACCGCAUACGACCUACGGGUGAAAGCAGGGGAUCUUCGGACCUUGCGCGAUUGAAUGAGCCGAUGUCGGAUUAGCUAGUUGGCGGGGUAAAGGCCCACCAAGGCGACGAUCCGUAGCUGGUCUGAGAGGAUGACCAGCCACACUGGAACUGAGACACGGUCCAGACUCCUACGGGAGGCAGCAGUGGGGAAUAUUGGACAAUGGGCGCAAGCCUGAUCCAGCCAUACCGCGGGGGUGAAGAAGGCCUUCGGGUUGUAAAGCCCUUUUGUUGGGAAAGAAAAGCAGCAGGUUAAUACCCCGCUGUUCUGACGGUACCCAAAGAAUAAGCACCGGCUAACUUCGUG
rnacentral:rRNA from 1 species